CCCUGCCACCCGGGACCAAGACCUGCGAACUGACCGGGUAAUUAAAAAAGAAAAAGAAAUUGCUCCUAAAGGGGCGAUGCUGCUGUGGUCCGCGGCAGCCGUGUCCGCUUGACGAAGACCGGAGCUCAAGCCUCCUUCCUUCCCUCGCCACGCGCGGUCUUCGUAGCUCUGCUUCGCCUCUUACUCCCACGGCGAGACGGCGGAGGGCGAGGAGGACGAGGAGCAGGAUCGGGAGAGCGGCCUCCCCUGCGCCACCGGCCCGCGGAGCCGCCGCUGCCGGCGCCGCCGCGCCGCGUAGCGCGGCGACGGUAGGCGGCGCGACGCGGCGGAGAUGCUGUGGAGGUUGAUGCCGUCCGACGUCGAGUUGUUGCCGGAGCGGGAGAGGGGGGUCUACCCCACCUUGUCGACCUUAAAGAAGCGGACGUUGUAGUUGCUGUGCGAGUAGGCGCUCUGUCGACUACGUAACCAAAGCUGCCCCAACCGACUAAACCCUAUGUUGAUGUAUUUGUAGCUGCUGACAACCAGCAUACACUUUGCUCCUUUAUUCCUAGUUAACGAUGGACUAGGUUUCUGAAAGGGAAGACCUUAGUUUAGUGAACGCCUGAUACACGUGCCUUUUCCAGAUUUUGAACCAUAGAUGAGACUGCGACCCCAUAAAUGAACAGUUCAAGCUGGUCCUAGCGAGGUAGUGCUUUUACUGCUACGACGGGAAAAACGAAGUACCCCACAACUGAUAGAUUUCAUGCUGUUGACAAUGUUAGACCCUUAUGGCGGUUUCCUUUCCAUAGGAGGUUACGCACUACGAGAUUUAAGUUGACCCGCGGUCUAUAAGAUGAGAGAUACACUUACCCCGGUCCUACUAGGUCGAAAUACCCGACCUUUUCAACCUUUGUCAACCGCAUGUUGUCUACUGUAUGUCCUAUGUACCUUUUCGUACUGACUGUAACGACUAUUCUUGUUGUUCACCCGUAGUAUACGACCUGGGCCACCUACCUUACUGGGCCUGUACGACCUUCAACCUUUACCACCGUACUGGAAACGUCUCAUGGCACGUGUAAAGUCGUAGACCCGUGAGUACUUCCGUGGAGAGAAUUAACCAACACUACAGUCUUUAUACUGAAGUGUCUGUUAACUUUAUAACUCGUUGUUUCUUCAUUAAGUUCAUUUGGUUCUAGGAGAACCUCAAGUUCCUUCUUCUUAAAACCCAGUCCCUUUCCCACCUACGGCACUCCACACCCGACCGGGGGAGAGACCGUUGGCAAACCGACAACGAAAUACCUUAGCAACAAGCCUCUGCCAAUUAUAGUGUUACAGUAACGGUCGACAUCCGGAACUACCAAGUAGACGGAUAAGACAAUCUCUAGACACCUUCGUACUUUGAGAUAGCCGCUUGCACCAUCCUUGAAAACCUCGGGUUCAGCGGCACGUGCUGACGUUCUACAUGUAAAAAUGAGGGUGGCAGCCAAAAAGACGUUCAACCACUAACUUUUUCCAGUUUCGGUGCGGUACGCCAUAUAUAUACAGACCUUUGUUUGAAACCAGUUAGUAGGUUGAAGGUCCAGUGUGCCAUAUAUAUACAUAGUCGGACAAAACCUGUUUUAUGAGAAUAGUUAGUAUAUAGGUCGUACUACGCGUUUUAAAUGAGAGUUAAACAUGUAGAGAAAGGCCCUCCGAGAUAUAGUACGGUCACCUGAUACUGGUUAUUUAAUUAGUAGUCAAUAACCUCCCCUUUAUAUAUAUCCUGUAUAUUACAAAAGAGUAAUAAUGUCCACGUAGGAUUAGCAUUGGACUGACAAAGAAUCCCAGAUAGUGUCCCAAUCGAUCGACCAUCUAGACUUUGGGCCGUCGUAGACCGUCCAAGAACCGGACCUUGCGCAGCCGAGAGGUAGACCGGUGGAACACCGCCUCCACCAGGCUGGUCUUGACCGACGGCAGCAGCUGCACGUAGAGGACCUCGUGGUGCCGCAAGAGGUGCUCCUUGAACCGGUCGGCGUGGACCUUCGUCAACUGGAGGGACCGGAACUUGACGUCGCAAUGGAACGCGUCCCAACAGAGGUCCGUCGACUUGAACGACAAACAGUCCCGCAAGCCCUCGGGGCUCUGCGGCAGCUCGACGUGGCGUAGUGCUACGCGGCUACCGUACGUGCGCUCGGAGAGCUUGGCCAGGUACCUAAGCGCCUUCCCCGGAGGCCGACCCAGGAGCCACAACAUGGUCAUCACCACGCUGUAGAGGUCGGACUCGGCGUCGAGCCUGUACCGGCCCGUCCUCCGCUCGUCGGAGCGGUGACGGUGGCGACACGAAGACAGGGGCAGGAACGUGAACGGCACGUGAACCUCCUCGAACUCCAAACCCUUGCACCCGUUCUACCGGAACGGCCGGUCCUACAGAAGUUACGACAGGUCGGCGUCGAACUCGCGGGAGCACGACCUCUUCGACCACUCGUACGCGCUGCACCUGAGCAUGACGACCUGCAAAACCAACGCCGCUCACCGCAGCUCCAACUGCGCACGGUCGCGGCCGCGCCCGCAACGUUCGCUCUCGAACUCUCCCAUGGGCGACAUCGCCUUCCUCGCGUCCGAGCCGUACAGCUCGAGCUACGGGCACAACCGCCCUAGCAGCUCGAGUACGGUCGGCUCUAUUACCCAGAGCUCGUGGUCCCGCCGCUGGCACCCUGUCGCCUCCGCCUCCGCGUCCGACUUUCAAAGUACGUACAUUUAGCAGAACAACCUUGGUCCACCGAGGCCGCUCAAGACUGCCUCCAAGUGGUCGUGGUCCGACCAGUCGCGGCCGCGCAACAGCUGGUCCUGGACCUCUACGGGGAGGUUCCGCUUCGUCACCGCGUCGCACUCUAGGCACUCCGCGCCCUUCCGGUCCGCGCGGCUGCCGCCACCGCCGAGCUCCAACGUCGCGAGCUCGAGGUCGUGGGCCUCACACCGCCGGGUACCGUCCCUCGGGUCGCCGCCCGACAUGUACAGCAGCGUGACCGAAACGAAGAGCCUCGGUUACGCCUCCAGAAGGUCGGGCCGGCGCCGCCCCAGCCGCUCCUCCGGCCGCUGGGACUGCAGGAGAAAGCCAGGCCCCAACGACAUGGUAGACCAGUUCUCCGCCAUCCGCGGAAGCCACUCCUUCUCGCACUCGGAGAACUCCCGGCAGGGCGCCGCCCACCGCCGCUCCCGGCGGAACCGCAGCGCCUUCUUCUGCAGCUUCGUCCGCAUCGCUAGAAGCCGCCUCAUCACAGACGACAGCUCCAACUCCUGCGGGCACGCCGCGGUGUCCCCUGCGGUAACCGCGCUCUCCUGCCGCGACCGGCGCCGGAGGAACCGGCCGCGCUUCCUGUCAUGCACCACCUCUUCUAGCAGUCCCUCCCGCCUCUCUCCCAGCCGCCGCCGCCGGUAGCACCUGCGCCCGCAGAGCCGAUCCAAACAACACGCAACUUCAUGUCAUAAAUUCCCCACUAACUCAGCCAAACCAAAGACUGCUUUCGCGGCGUAACGUACCCUCAAAAAAAAGGCUGUUUGUAGGGGAGGACUCAAAAAAAAAGAAACUCAUUAGAGCGG
rnacentral:rRNA from 1 species